ACCACCAUCGUCGCCGCUCCCUCGAUGGUUGGAGCUCCCUUCCCACAGCCCGAUCUAGAUGCCCCUCCCUGUCAUAUCUGAGCACCACGCUCUGCCCGUCCACAACCAGCCUCCUCAAUCUCCAACCUGUUCUACAUCCCCUCUCCACCCGUCCACAAUCAGCCUCCUCAAUCUCCAACCUCCUGCAGCCGUCCCUCUCUGAUUUGGAUCAAAGUAGAUCCAUCGAUGGAGGCAGGGGAGCAGCAGAUGUGGAGCCAUCAGACGAGUAGGAUCAGCUCGGGAAACAUGAGGGAAGGGAUGGAUCUGGUGGAUGCCGGGGAGCAGCAGAUGGAGCAAAAGAAAUAAAGAAUCAGUUGCUCCCGCUGCUACCUCCCAGCCGCGUCCCACCCCGUUAGGAACGCUGCCCGGCUCCCCUGCUCCUAUCGCCCCACCUUUUCCUAGCCAAUAAUCAAGGGGUGCAGUAGAGGAGCACCAGUACCGGUGUAGAAUGCAUCUGCAGUGGUGCGGGUUGGGGACCGAGUGACGGAUUCAGGUCAAGGGGGUUUUCGGCUAGCGCAGAAGCAGGCUGCAUAAGAAUGCAAUAAUGUGAUUAAGCAAGGCAGGCGUCUGGGAAACAAGAAUGGUGAUGGCUUGCUCAACUAGAAGUUCUACAAUAAAUGGAUGGAUAUUUUCUCCUGGAAUGCAGAUGGAUGUCUGAUUAGUUAUUGGUUAUGCUCUCGAAGAAGUUGCCGAUGGAGAUAGCCGGGGUGUCAUCGUCCUUCCUUGAUCUGGGCAUAUGUGCCGGCACUUGCAGAUUCCAUCGCAUAGAGAAAUGGCACUGCUUCUGUGCUACCUAUGACUCAUUUAUGUGCUGGCCAACUUUCAUUUUCAUGCCAAGCAGGGUUGAUUAUCAGAGGGCUAGGAAACAUGGAGCAUGAGCGGGAGCAUCGACUACGAUGAGUUCAUCAGGGCGACAGUGUACAUCAACAAGCAGUAGCAGGAGGAGCACCUGCCGGCUGCCUUUGUCUACGUCGACAAGGACGGCAGUAGGUGCAUCACCGUAGAAAAAGCUGGAAGAAGCUUGCCAAGAGUACAACAUACAUGUUGUAUCAACACAUCAUUAGGGACGUCGACAAUGACAACAUGCUUGAAGAUGAAAGGCGCCAAGGACGCACAAUGGCGGGUGCGGGAAGGCAUCAGAAGAGCUCGGGUAGAUAGCCGUGAGCGAGAUGCGUCUCGACACAAAAGGGCAAGGUGAUGCUAGAAGGAGCCGGAAUAGUGCGAAGGUCUACCAACCGAACGCAUGGUGCAGGAAUUGGAGGUGGACGCUAUUUCAACUCAGGGAGUGGUCAUCCAUUUUGAAGAGAGAAAACGUGUAGCUGAACUUGGAAGGUCCAGACUCGCUCAAUCGAGCUACGCACGUUCGCGGAAGUUUAUCCAACGGUGGGAACUAGCAUUGUAUUACCGUAGUGAGGUGGCAUAUAUGUGGCAAGCAAUAUCGCUUUCCAAUUUAGAUAGAAGUAAAUGUGAAAUAAAUACGAAUGUAUAUCUACAAACUGAAAUAUGAA